CUCUUAAGCCAUUUUUCACGACUCUCGAUCCUAAGAGCAGUUUUGUCGACAUUCUCCAAUCCUAAGGGCAGAUCUCCUUUGGGGUUGGAAAGUCUAAGGAGACACCGAUCAUCCCUCCUCCACUCGCAAUGGAAAGCAAUCUUGGAAGAACAAUAACAAACAACCGACCAACAGCACUUUACAAAACCGCUCUUACCUUUCCA
rnacentral:lncRNA from 1 species